rnacentral:rRNA from 1 species
AACGCUGGCGGCGUGCCUAAUACAUGCAAGUCGAACGCUUUUUUCAAUCAUCGUAGCUUGCUACACCGAUUGAAAAUUGAGUGGCGAACGGGUGAGUAACACGUGGGUAACCUGCCCAAAAGAGGGGGAUAACACUUGGAAACAGGUGCUAAUACCGCAUAACCAUGAUGACCGCAUGGUCAUUAUGUAAAAGAUGGUUUCGGCUAUCACUUUUGGAUGGACCCGCGGCGUAUUAACUUGUUGGUGGGGUAACGGCCUACCAAGGUAAUGAUACGUAGCCGAACUGAGAGGUUGAUCGGCCACAUUGGGACUGAGACACGGCCCAAACUCCUACGGGAGGCAGCAGUAGGGAAUCUUCCACAAUGGGCGCAAGCCUGAUGGAGCAACGCCGCGUGAGUGAAGAAGGUCUUCGGAUCGUAAAACUCUGUUGUUAGAGAAGAACAUGCAGGAGAGUAACUGUUCUUGUAUUGACGGUAUCUAACCAGAAAGCCACGGCUAACUACGUGCC